rnacentral:rRNA from 1 species
GGUAAGUGUGUGCAGGCGGCGGGGGUAAGACGAGGGGGGGUAGCGGUGCUCGGACUGACUGGGCAUAAAGGGCGGGUGGGCGGUUUGUACAGUCGGGGGUGAAAUUCCUGGGCUCAACCUGGGGGCGGCGUUCGAUACGUGCAGGCUGGAGUAGGGAAGAGGGUCGGGGAAUUCCCAGUGUAGAGGUGAAAUUCGUAGAUAUUGGGAAGAACACCGGUGGCGAAGGCGGCGACCUGGUCCUUUACUGACGCUGAGGCGCGAAAGCGUGGGGAGCAAACAGGAUUAGAUACCCGAGUAGUC